GAGACAUUCAGUCCGCAGAGUUGAUUUCACUUACUCGGUGAAUACAGCAGCUCGUUCAUCACUCUCGUGCACCUUGAAUGACUGGAUGGCAGAAUUGUUCUAAAGUGUUUCUGUUCCCCGCACAGCUGGAAACUUUGCCUGGGAAUUUAUGCUUUAAAAAUUUCAGUCAUUGUUUCUGGUCGUGUGUGUAAUAAUGUGCAUCCUAGACCGAAGAGAGGUGCCACACUGGAGGUUUGGAUGGCUUGUUUCUGUUUGAGACUGACUGCAGCUUUCAGGCUGAGGUACAACAUUGAUUAUCUGAUUUUUGAUAAAUGUAUUUUGUUUGUAAAGAAAUUGACAGCCAAACGGAUGCCAGCUUGGAACACUGCUGACGUCGGCUGUCUGGAAAGCAUAGCCAACACCUGCAUCGUCAUUGUAGAAUGUGUCUGUGUCAAAGCUGCAUUGGAAAUAACAAGCUACCAACCAAAUAUUGGUAGACUUUAAUCUUCAGAUACUAAAGCCACCAGGAGCCUAACAGAUAUCCUGUCUGAUUAUGAAAUUUGUUAAGCUCCCCAACAGCAACAGCAGCAGCAGCAACUUUUCUGGUUAGGUGAAGCUCCCAGUUGUUUGGUUAUGACAUAUCCCACUGAGGGAAUGGCAGUGGUGUUGCCACAUGUAGACAAGGCCUCAGUAUGUCAGGUAUGUUGGUGAACCAGAUCCACUCAGCCGUUCUCAGAUGAUGGGUGUAACUCUGUACUUUCCUUGACUGACAUGAUUUAUAAAAAAUGUUGACAAUAAAAGACUACCUGACACUAAGCACAUGGAAAUUAUUUAACUCUGAAUACAUUGAGCACAUGAUUGAGUCCAAGAUAAAGAGAAAUAAUUGAUCCUGGAUCAAGUAUGUUUCAUUU